UCGUAACAAGGUUUCCGUAGGUGAACCUGCGGAAGGAUCAUUA
rnacentral:ncRNA from 168 species